GUACCUGCAGAAGAAGCGCCGGCUAACUACGUGCCAGCAGCCGCGGUAGUACGUAGGGCGCAAGCGUUGUCCGGAAUUAUUGGGCGUAAAGAGCUCGUAGGCGGUUUGUCGCGUCUGCUGUGAAAACGCAAGGCUUAACCUUGCGUCUGCAGUGGGUACGGGCAGACUAGAGUGCGGUAGGGGAGACUGGAAUUCGUGGUGUAACAGUGGAAUGCUCAGAUAUCACGAGGAACACCGAUGGCGAAGGCAGGUCUCUGGGCCGUUACUGAGGCUGAGGAGCUAAAGCAUGGGGAGCGAACACGAUUAUAUACCCUG
rnacentral:rRNA from 1 species